AAGACCCGUGAAGCGCAAGGUUGUAUCUGCCACAAAAUAAAGGAGCACGUCAACCAGGCCAGUCUCCAGACGGGUGAGUGGGGCUGCCCCUCCACCUAGUGACGACAGCGAGGACAUGUGGCACUCCCCAGGUGAGCCUGACACUGAGCCACAAUCUCCUGCGUUUUCACCGAGGCAUCCUCCAGGACCCAGGAUUGACACCACUAAAAUAUGGUCUCCAGUCAACCUCUUCAAACUUUUUUUCAGUGUAAGCACCAUCCAGACUAUUAUGCAGAACACAAAUGAAAAUGCACAAAGAGUAAUUUCAGCAGGGAUAAAAAUUAAAGUGGUCACCUCUUACAGCUGACGACCUCUUUGUCUUCAUGGCCAUUAUAAUAUUCACUGGGUUGGUGCAGGUCUUCUCUAGAGCCAACCUCUGGAGAACAAAGUGGCUGUUCAAAUUCCCGUUUCCACGAGAGAGCAUGACCCUUGAUAGGUUUGAAGCUAUCUUCUGGUGUAUUCAUCUUUCCAACAUCAAAGAAGAUGAAGAAAACCAAAAGAAGAAGAAAGAAGGGAAUGCCUCAGUAUGACAGACUGUUCAAGAUUAAACCUCUCUAUGAUGAGAUAAGGACUGCAUGUAUCUCCAUCUUCCAACCAGGCAGGGAGAUAUGCGUAGAUGAGCGGAUGGUGGCGAGCAAGGCCAGGAUAGGGUUCCGUCAGUACAUGAAGGACAAGCCCACCAAGUUUGGUUACAAACUGUUUGUUUUAGCCGAUUCAUGUUCUGGUUACACAUGGAAUUUUUUCAUCUACGAGGGAAAGACUGAGAAAGUUCAAUGAGAGGGCCUCAGUGUAACAUCAGUUAUGGACCUGAUGGAGUUUGACCUUCUUGGAAAGGGUUAUCACUUUUAUGUAGAUAACUUCUACACCAGUCCUGCACUGUUUCAUAAACUGACAUCUAAUCACACUGACGCAUGUGGAACCAUCCGUCAGACGCGCAUUGGCUUUCCGAAAAGCACAAGGAACUCCCUGCCCAAAUCAGCUGAGAGAGGAGACAUGAGGUAGCUGCGGAACAACGGACUGCUAUUUGUGAAAUGAAAGGACACCAAGGAGAGACCUGUGCAGCCAUCAUCACUUAGUAUCCAAAUGGCCUACAAGCAGAAAACAGAAGAAACAAGCAGGAAGACACUGUCUGGCUGUUACGGUUUACGAGAUAUAGGACCCCAGAAUGCAGACCAGAAGGCAGCAUGACGCCAGGAAUCCCAACCAGACUCUUAACUCCCCAGUACUGGAACUGGAUGACGUGCCAAUUAUGCCUGAGGCGUGUGCAGGGGUUUGGUCUCAGAGGUCCAUGCACCACAUCCUGCCGGGGUUCAUGCAUCAUUGUGAGAGGUUGGCCAUCGGGUGAUGAAGCAUCCAUUGAGCCCUUCCUGGGGCCUUCCCUGGGCCCCUCCCCUACUCCCAGUGACACACUCACGCAGUCGGACAUGAGAGAUUGUCGCAGAAGCUGCAGGGUGCUCGAGAAAAACUCCACUUUAAUGCAUUUGUGAAAUACACAAACACUCUGAGAGCAAGUCAGAGCAAAGAAUAAAAGGCCUUUGGGCAUAAAUCCUG